UCUACGGGUGGCAGCAGUGAGGAAUAUUUGUCAAUGGACGAGAGUCUGAACCAGCCAAGUAGCGUGAAGGAUGACUGCCCUAUGGGUUGUAAACUUCUUUUAUAUGGGAAUAAAAUGUUCCACGUGUGGGAUUUUGUAUGUAGCAUAUGAAUAAGGAUCGGCUAACUCCGGGCCAGCAGCCGCGGUAAUACGGAGGAGCCGAGCGUUAGCCGGAUUUAUUGGGUUUAAAGGGGGCGUAGGUGGAUUGUUAAGUCAGUUGUGAAAGUUUGGGGCUCAACCGUAAAAUUGCAGUUGAAACUGGCAGUCUUGAGUACAGGAGAGGUGGGCGGAAUUCGUGGUGUAGCAGUGAAAUGCUUAGAUAUCACGAAGAACUCCGAUUGCGAAGGCAGUUCACUGGACUGCAACUGACACUGAGGCUCGAAAGUGUGGGUAUCAAACAGGAUUAGAUACCCUUGUAGUC
rnacentral:rRNA from 1 species